rnacentral:rRNA from 1 species
CAAGGCUAAAUACUCCUGACUGACCGAUAGUGAACCAGUACCGUGAGGGAAAGGCGAAAAGAACCCCGGCGAGGGGAGUGAAAAAGAACCUGAAACCGUGUACGUACAAGCAGUGGGAGCACCCUUUGGGGUGUGACUGCGUACCUUUUGUAUAAUGGGUCAGCGACUUAUAUUCUGUAGCAAGGUUAACCGUAUAGGGGAGCCGCAGGGAAACCGAGUCUUAACCGGGCGUUAAGUUGCAGGGUAUAGACCCGAAACC